GUCUUACAUAUCUGUGUUGAUUGGAUUGACCCCUGCAGGAUUUCAAGGCAUGAAUUGGUUAGAAGUGGAACACGAAACUCAUAGUUAUAUUUCAGAUCAAUAUUAUGUCAUUGGCCACCUGCUAGCUCAGCGCAUUGGAAAUUCUCUGUGUUAUGUUCCAAAGAACGGAUAUGAGAAAAAUAGAAGUACGCAUACAAAUCUGCAUGCACUAGCAAGUUCCAAAUUGAUGGGUUGAGUGAUUUAUUGUACUUUUGCAUGGCUGCUAUAUCAGUAAAAAUAUGUGGACAAAUGUUUUCCUUUUAUCCCUUAUGGAUUAUAUUGGCCAUCA